AUGACCCCCAGCCUGGCCAUCGCCUUCCUCCUGCUGCUCCCAGCGGGUGUCUAUUCCCAGGUCAGCCUGGUGGAGUCCGGUGGGGGAAUCAAGAAGCCUGGGGAGACCCUCAGACUGACCUGCACCGUGUCCGGAUUCUCUCUCACUAGCUACGCGGUGCACUGGGCCGCCAGCCAGCGGGGAAAGGGCUGCAAUGGAUGGGAGGUGGCGGUGCGGCUGCGGGACGGCGCGGAGAACACGGCCCCCUCCCUGAGCUUCGUGGCACUGCUGGUGGCCAAGGUGGAUCAGUUCGUGCUCACCGCCCUCACCCCCGACAUGCUGGCAGCCUAG